rnacentral:rRNA from 1 species
CCUACGGGAGGCAGCAGUGAGGAAUAUUGGUCAAUGGACGAGAGUCUGAACCAGCCAAGUAGCGUGAAGGAUGACUGCCCUCUGGGUUGUAAACUUCUUUUAUAAAGGAAUAAAACGAGGCACGUGUGCCUUUUUGCAUGUACUUUAUGAAUAAGGAUCGGCUCACUCCGUGCCAGCAACCGCGUUAAUACGUAGGGGGCAAGCGUUAUCCGGCAUUACUGGGGUUAAAGGGAGCGAAUAGGGCAAUGCAAGGCUGGAGUUAAAGCCCGGGGCCCAACCCCGGAACUGCUCUGGAAACUGUGCGGCUAGAGUACUGGAGGGGCAGGCGGAAUUCCUAGUGUAGCGGUGAAAUGCGUAGAUAUUAGGAGGAACACCAGUGGCGAAGGCGGCCUGCUGGACAGUAACUGACGUUGAGGCUCGAAAGCGUGGGGAGCAAACAGGAUUAGAUACCCUAGUAGUC